CGUGCUGUCUCCUUUAAGAGUUUGUGCAUGCACACGAUAGAGAGAGUGCGCGUCAGAGGGGAACAGAGAGCGCGCUGAUUGAAGCAGCAGGUAAAAGUGAGGAGAAAAUAGUUGAUAAGAAAUUGUUAAAUGGAUAUAAUACAGGCUGAUUAUCAACUCGUGGACCUGUGGUGGUUUCAGUUGUGUGACUGCACCGAGUGGAUGACCUAAGUCAGUGUUUAUAUUAGUGUCUGUUGCUGCAUAUGAGAGAUCUCCGGUGGGGGAGGGGAUUCAGGCCUACUUCGACGGAGAUUGAGCGCACAUAUAAGCCACUGCCGUUGUUUUGCACACCUUUAUUGGUUCUUUAACAUUGGUUGCACUAUUUCAAGUCAAAUUGGGGCUUGUGAUCUGGUGUUUUGAUUAGAGGUUAUUAUUGUAAAAGACUUAUUUUUAUUCUUUACAUUUCUUUUUAUACCUUAUUUCACUUUCUGUGCCCAUUGAAGUGAAUUGGGUAACGUCAUUUAUUUUGUUUUAUUAUUGUUUUAUUUGACUUUUCUUGUUUAACUGGAUUGAAGUCCUGAGAAAAUACUAUUUUUCCCCUGAACCAAACAUUAAUGCUGGGUCUCCAUUUGAGGCUCAGUCAAGAAUAAAAGAAUCCUUUUCAGUAGAUGUCUUGGCAUUGUCUUUUUCUUAGUAUAUUAGAAGGACGUCAAGCCGGCCACAUCUAAUUUUGGUGUCAGAAGUGGGAUUCAGUUUUGUUUGGGGGCUGAUUUCUUUUUGUUACAAUAGUGCAAAAGUAAAAGGGUGCAAACAACGGUAGUGGCGAAAGGCGACUGAGCGCUGGAAGGAACUGCAGUGACAUCCUGACAGAAGCGGCGGCAGGACAAAGGGCCAGCGCACCAAAUCUGCUGUGUGAGGACUUCGAGGAGGACAGUGUUUGUUGAACUGACUGUUUGAGAACUGAGACUUUCUGUGACUACCGCUCAAAGUCAUGGAGGCUGAGGACAUUGACGGUGCGGCUGCAAUGGCGGAGGACAUUCAAGGUGCAGGUGCUGCAGCGCCGGAAAUGGACAUUGAGGGAGGUAACCCCAUCUCACAGCUUCAGUCCCAGAUCUUGGAGUUGGGGCGUAGACAUGAUGAAGUAAUGUCAGCUCUUGCCAACAUGACUAAUGUUCAUACUAGAUCCUAUGUGUAUAUCCCAAGAGAGAGACAAAUUGUACCUUUCAGUGGAGAUCCAGGUAAAGACUGCCAAAAUGUCGAUG
ensembl:lncRNA